rnacentral:tRNA from 1 species
GCGGAGUAGCUCAGUUGGUUAGAGCAGCGGAAUCAUAAUCCGUGUGUCGGAGGUUCGAGUCCUCCCUCCG